CAGCAGCCGCGGGAAUACGGAGGGUGCAAGCGUUAAUCGGAAUUACUGGGCGUAAAGCGUGCGUAGGCGGUUCGUUAAGUCUGUUGUGAAAGCCCCGGGCUCAACCUGGGAAUGGCAAUGGAUACUGGCGAGCUAGAGUGUGUCAGAGGAUGGUGGAAUUCCCGGUGUAGCGGUGAAAUGCGUAGAGAUCGGGAGGAACACCAGUGGCGAAGGCGGCCAUCUGGAACAACACUGACGCUGAGGCACGAAAGCGUGGGGAGCAAACAGGAUUAGAUACCCCUGUAGUCCCUGUCUCUUAUAC
rnacentral:rRNA from 1 species